rnacentral:rRNA from 1 species
CAGUAGCCGCGGUAAUACGUAGGGUGCAAGCGUUAAUCGGAAUUACUGGGCGUAAAGCGUGCGCAGGCGGUUAUAUAAGACAGAUGUGAAAUCCCCGGGCUCAACCUGGGAACUGCAUUUGUGACUGUAUAGCUAGAGUACGGCAGAGGGGGAUGGAAUUCCGCGUGUAGCAGUGAAAUGCGUAGAUAUGAGGAGGAACACCGAUGGCGAAGGCAAUCCCCUGGGCCUGUACUGACGCUCAUGCACGAAAGCGUGGGGAGCAAACAGGAUUAGAUACCCCCGUAGUCCCUGUCUCUUAUAC